rnacentral:rRNA from 1 species
UACGUAGGGCGCGAGCGUUGUCCGGAAUCAUUGGGCGUAAAGAGCUCGUAGGCGGCCUGUCGCGUCUGCUGUGAAAUCCCGGGGCUCAACCCCGGGCGUGCAGUGGAUACGGGCUGGCUGGAGGCAGGCAGGGGAGAACGGAAUUCCCGGUGUAGCGGUGAAAUGCGCAGAUAUCGGGAGGAACACCGGUGGCGAAGGCGGGUCUCUGGGCAGUAACUGACGCUGAGGAGCGAAAGCGUGGGGAGCGAACAGG